UUUCGAGACUUUCCUCUUGUGUACGCGACGAAUCGUGUUCAGUCGAUAAAAUUGCUUUGACCCAGCAAAUACUCUUUCGCAAUUUCUUGUUAAUCGCAGACCGAAUGGAACGCUUUUGCUGUUUAGAAAUCGACGAGUGCGUGCGAACACGCGAAGGCCUCUCUGAAAACAACCAUAAUGCGGCUCGAUAGGAAACUAGCACGUUCCGUUUAGCAGCAAAUUAUUGUCGUUCUUGUUCUCGAAUUUUAGGAUAACUUGUAAUUGAAAUAUCACACAUCGUCGUCAAGUUACACUUGCGCGUCUGUUAUCCGGAGACCUUGUGCGUAUGAUCCGCUGAUAUCUGUUGUAAUUAGGUGCAAUGCAGUAAUUGAUACAACACUAAUUUUUCAAUUAUCUGCACAGGAUUGCAACAAUAGGAGAAACGCAAAAACCUGGCAAAGGAAUCUCUGAGGAUCAGCGAUAUUAUAAAAGUGCAAGUAUGUAGAAA
rnacentral:misc_RNA from 1 species